GCUCAGAUUGAACGCUGGCGGCAGGCCUAACACAUGCAAGUCGAGCGGUAGCACAGAGAGCUUGCUCUCGGGUGACGAGCGGCGGACGGGUGAGUAAUGUCUGGGAAACUGCCUGAUGGAGGGGGAUAACUACUGGAAACGGUAGCUAAUACCGCAUAANGUCGCAAGACCAAAGUGGGGGACCUUCGGGCCUCAUGCCAUCAGAUGUGCCCAGAUGGGAUUAGCUAGUAGGUGGGGUAACGGCUCACCUAGGCGACGAUCCCUAGCUGGUCUGAGAGGAUGACCAGCCACACUGGAACUGAGACACGGUCCAGACUCCUACGGGAGGCAGCAGUGGGGAAUAUUGCACAAUGGGCGCAAGCCUGAUGCAGCCAUGCCGCGUGUGUGAAGAAGGCCUUCGGGUUGUAAAGCACUUUCAGCGGGGAGGAAGGCGNUNAGGUUAAUAACCUNNNCGAUUGACGUUACCCGCAGAAGAAGCACCGGCUAACUCCGUGCCAGCAGCCGCGGUAAUACGGAGGGUGCAAGCGUUAAUCGGAAUUACUGGGCGUAAAGCGCACGCAGGCGGUCUGUCAAGUCGGAUGUGAAAUCCCCGGGCUCAACCUGGGAACUGCAUUCGAAACUGGCAGGCUAGAGUCUUGUAGAGGGGGGUAGAAUUCCAGGUGUAGCGGUGAAAUGCGUAGAGAUCUGGAGGAAUACCGGUGGCGAAGGCGGCCCCCUGGACAAAGACUGACGCUCAGGUGCGAAAGCGUGGGGAGCAAACAGGAUUAGAUACCCUGGUAGUCCACGCCGUAAACGAUGUCGAUUUGGAGGUUGUGCCCUUGAGGCGUGGCUUCCGGAGCUAACGCGUUAAAUCGACCGCCUGGGGAGUACGGCCGCAAGGUUAAAACUCAAAUGAAUUGACGGGGGCCCGCACAAGCGGUGGAGCAUGUGGUUUAAUUCGAUGCAACGCGAAGAACCUUACCUGGUCUUGACAUCCACAGAACUUUCCAGAGAUGGAUUGGUGCCUUCGGGAACUGUGAGACAGGUGCUGCAUGGCUGUCGUCAGCUCGUGUUGUGAAAUGUUGGGUUAAGUCCCGCAACGAGCGCAACCCUUAUCCUUUGUUGCCAGCGGUNCGGCCGGGAACUCAAAGGAGACUGCCAGUGAUAAACUGGAGGAAGGUGGGGAUGACGUCAAGUCAUCAUGGCCCUUACGACCAGGGCUACACACGUGCUACAAUGGCAUAUACAAAGAGAAGCGACCUCGCGAGAGCAAGCGGACCUCAUAAAGUAUGUCGUAGUCCGGAUUGGAGUCUGCAACUCGACUCCAUGAAGUCGGAAUCGCUAGUAAUCGUAGAUCAGAAUGCUACGGUGAAUACGUUCCCGGGCCUUGUACACACCGCCCGUCACACCAUGGGAGUGGGUUGCAAAAGAAGUAGGUAGCUUAACCUUCGGGAGGGCGCUUACCACUUUGUGAUUCAUGACUGGGGUGA
rnacentral:rRNA from 1 species